rnacentral:rRNA from 1 species
AUUGAACGCUGGCGGCAGGCUUAACACAUGCAAGUCGAGCGAGCGGCGGACGGGUGAGUUAUGUCUGGGAAACUGCCUGAUGGAGGGGGAUAACUACUGGAAACGGUAGCUAAUACCGCAUACCAUCAGAUGUGCCCAGAUGGGAUUAGCUAGUAGGUGGGGUAAUGGCUCACCUAGGCGACGAUCCCUAGCUGGUCUGAUAGGAUGACCAGCCACCCGGGAACGUAGCUGUGGUCCAGGCGCCUACGGUAGGCAGCAGUGGGGAAUAUUGACAAAUGGGCGCAAGCCUGAUGCAGCCCUGCCGCGUGUGUGAAGACGGCCUUAGGGUUGUAAAGCACUUUCAGCGAGGAGGCGUUACUCGCAGAAGAAGCACCGGCUAACUCCGUGCCAGCAGCGGGGGUGAUUC